rnacentral:rRNA from 1 species
ACGGAAGGCAGCAGUGGGGAAUAUUGCGCAAUGGGGGGAACCCUGACGCAGCAACGCCGCGUGAAGGAUGAAGGUCUUCGGAUUGUAAACUUUUGUCUUUGGUGACGAACAAUGACGGUAGCCAAGGAGGAAGCCACGGCUAACUACGUGCCAGCAGCCGCGGUAAUACGUAGGUGGCAAGCGUUGUCCGGAUUUACUGGGUGUAAAGGGCGUGUAGACGGGAUGGUAAGUCAGAUGUGAAAUACCGCAGCUUAACUGCGGGGCUGCAUUUGAAACUAUCGUUCUUGAGUGCGGGAGAGGAAAGCGGAAUUCCUAGUGUAGCGGUGAAAUGCGUAGAUAUUAGGAGGAACACCAGUGGCGAAGGCGGCUUUCUGGACCGUAACUGACGUUGAGGCGCGAAAGCGUGGGUAGCAAACAGGAUUAGAUACCCUGGUA